rnacentral:rRNA from 1 species
GACGAACGCUGGCGGCGUGCUUAACACAUGCAAGUCGAACGUGAUUUUUGUGGAAAGCCCUUCGGGGACGGAAAUGAAAUGAAAGUGGCGAACGGGUGAGUAACACGUGAGCAACCUACCUUACACAGGGGGAUAGCCGUUGGAAACGACGAUUAAUACCGCAUGAGACCACAAAGCCACAUGGCUUAGGGGUAAAAGAUUUAUCGGUGUAAGAUGGGCUCGCGUCUGAUUAGCUAGUUGGAAGGGUAAAGGCCUACCAAGGCAACGAUCAGUAGCCGGUCUGAGAGGAUGAACGGCCACAUUGGAACUGAGACACGGUCCAAACUCCUACGGGAGGCAGCAGUGGGGAAUAUUGCACAAUGGGGGGAACCCUGAUGCAGCGACGCCGCGUGAGCGAAGAAGGUUUUCGAAUCGUAAAGCUCUGUCCUAUGAGAAGAUAAUGACGGAUCAUAGGAG